AUACGUAGGGGGCAAGCGUUGUCCGGAUUUAUUGGGCGUAAAGAGCUCGUAGGCGGCUUGGUAAGUCGAUCGUGAAAACCAGAGGCUCAACCUCUGGACGUCGGUCGAUACUGCCAUGGCUAGAGUCCGGUAGAGGAGAGUGGAAUUCCCGGUGUAGCGGUGGAAUGCGCAGAUAUCGGGAGGAACACCAGUAGCGAAGGCGGCUCUCUGGGCCGGAACUGACGCUGAGGAGCGAAAGCGUGGGUAGCAAACAGGAUUAGAUACCCUGGUAGUCCACGCCGUAAACGUUGGGUACUAGGUGUGGCGUCUUAUCAACGGAUGCCGUGCCGAAGCUAACGCAUUAAGUACCCCGCCUGGGGAGUACGGCCGCAAGGCUAAA
rnacentral:rRNA from 1 species